rnacentral:rRNA from 5 species
UCGACCUGAGAUCAGACGAGACU